UUAAACAUGGCCAGGCUGUAUCCAGAACUUCUCCAGUGAAAUCCCUAAUUUACCCUUUUCACUGUCGGCCCGCUGAAUAACCUCUCCGACCGAUUGCUUGCACCGCUCUGAACUUCGAACCAUUUCGCGAAACACUAAUCUCAUCGGCGAAGAACCGGGAAUCGCGGUGCUUCCAUAUCGGCGGUACUGAAAGGGAAUGGUUGCAGAGUGAGGAACAAGGGAAUUUGGCGACGAGUUCAUUAUGUGGGUAGUUCGCUUGAUGGGACCAAGCUAUUUUAAGCUUUGCGAAGUCAUAACCUCCGACCGCUGUUUGUCUCGUAAUCAUGUCUGGUAUAGUUUUUAGUUGCACGUCAACUUUCCUUUACUGUGUUUUUUUCAAUUUUGUUUUUGUUUAGGGUUUACUGGAAUUUUCGGUGAAGGGGUUUAGAGGGGAUGAAUGACUAAGUGAAAUAGAGGAGGAGGUGGACAACAAAAUACAGACGAUGUUAAAAUCUAGGAAAUUAGCAAAA